rnacentral:lncRNA from 1 species
CAUUGAUUUUGAUGGCAUUGAAAUAAUUGAUUAUUAUACUUUAUAACUUAGUUGAUGGCUUUAUUGAGUGUUUAAAGAUUAAGUAAUGAUAAUAAUACAUCUUUCAUCUCAUCUUUUAGUUUCUAAUAAAAUUAACUCAUAACAAAUUUUUUACAUCAAUUCAUGUCACAAGCCAAUUACCUAAAAUUAAAUGCAUAAAUUCAUGUAAAAUGUGAUCCUUGACAUAAUAAGAAAAUCUUUGUUGUUGUUCAUUAAGCCUUAUCAUAUUAUCCAAAUGUCUUUGAAAAUGCUUCUAAAAAAGCUUCAAAGUUGCUCAAAAUUAAAGAUUUUUUUUCAAAUAAAAAAUCAAAUCAAGAUAAGUCUUAUCUUGUAAAAAAGGUUCUAACUAAAUUAACUUACAAAUCCUUUGUUAGAUUGCGCUGUCGUAUUAUGUAAAAACUUACUUGAGAAUGCGUUGGGCACUUAGUUGUAGAAGAUAAAAAGAAUUUGCAAUAGCAAGUCCUAAUCACUCUAAUAAAAUUGUAUAUAAAUUACUGUAGAAGCUUAAUAAAUAUAAUUAAGAAAUUCAAAAGAAUCCUUAAAGAAUCUUAAAAUAAUCUUAGAGAAAUUCUAAAGAAAUCCUAAAGAAAUCCAAACUAAAUCCUAAAUCAAAUCAAAUCCUAUUCCCAAUCAAAUCCUAAUCCUAACCAAAUUCUAACCAAAACCUAAAUCCUAACCAAACCCUA